CAUAGGUUUCAUCCUGCUCUUUCAUAGGUGCAUGUGGCUGCGUAAAGGAGGAAAAUGAAUCGGAGUUCUUUGGCCCUACAAAUGGCAAAUGGAUGUGUGGCCCUGCUACUUAAUAUAGGUACUGCCUGAUUAUAUUCCAGUGCCACCAGUAUUAGAAAUGCAGGUUCUCCAGGCAAGCCAAGCAGAGAAGAGCCAACACUCUGAAGCACUUGGAAAAGGAGAGGAAUACUUCGGUAUGCAUCCACAGUGCCAAAGAAGCUGCUUCUGUGUGUAUGUGUAGGUGCUGACCUCCACACCCAGGUCU